GUAGUCCUGGCUGCCUAUGCGGGAAGAGUCACUUCCGCCCCAGGUGUGUGAGGCCUUGUUCCGUUCCUUUCAGAAAGGUGAGCCCUCCCCUUUACUGACCCCUCCCGAGUGUGAGCGAUCCUUUUCAGGUUGCCCUGGGUGAUAGCCACCAGGCUUGUAUCCUGGGUAAGGAAGUCUGCCUCGGAAAGGUAGAACGUGAACUUACUUUGGAAGAGCAUGCCCGAGUGUGCUGCGAUUGCACACACUGACUCAGGCCUGGCCCGGGGCUGUCAGUCACCUGGAUGGAGGGUCUCCUGGGCGAUGGGCACCCCCAGCCGCCUCCCUAGCUCUGGUCACGAUGCCAUCUCCCAGCAGUGGAGUUCAGACUCUCCAUCUCUGCCUCCAUGCUUUCCACCACGCCUUGGUACCUAUCCAAGAGUGAUCUAGAGUUUCCUGCAAGGCUCAAAACUGCUGACGCGCGGUAGGAAAUGGGACAUUUACUAUCGGUGCUUUCCAAUUUCAGAGAAGCUGGACGCUUUAGUGACCCACGGAUGGUCUCAGAGCUCCUGCUGUAGGGUCUCUGGACCCAGCCUGUCCCCAUUAUCAAAGUCCUUAAUGACUUGUUUUGUUUUUGUUGAGACAAUCGUUCCCAGCUUUGUGUGCAGUGUCCACUGUGCCUUACGGGGGCCGGGAGAGGUGUUAGCUGAAGUCCGGUUUCUCCGAGCAAGUUGUCUUCUUAAUCCUUUAUAUAAAAAGUGCUGCAGGGGAAAGAGGCAUCAGAGAACGUGGUAGUGGUGCAGUCGUUUGAAUGAGAAAUGACCCCGUAGGGUCCAACCUUUGGAUGCCAGGUCCACAGUUUAGAGGGCGGGGUGCUGUUUCUGGAGGUUUGGCUGGUGUGGCCUUGCUGGAGAAAUACGUCAUGGGGCGGGGUCAGCCUCCAAGGUGUUUGCUCGCUAUGCUUGAGUUUCAGAAGGGAGCUCUCAGCUUCUUGCUCCUGUUGACAAGUCUGCCACCUGCCAUGCUGUCCCUACUAUUAUGGAACUGAAAGCCAAAAUAAACGCUUUCUUCCACACCUUAUUCAUGGUGUUUGAUCACAGCAACAAAAAGUAACUAAUACACAGGGGUAGACCUUAGCAUCCUUCUGUCAAUCUGUCUGUUCUGAGGAGUGAGGCUCUCUUUACUCAUUAGCAGAUCCACUUAUGAAGUUACCCUAAUAUUUUUUAAUUAAUUCUGGACGGGAUAGAGAAAUGCUUGGACAUAAAGAAUAAGUAUGAAAUAUAAACAUUUAAAACUAAAUGCUGUACGGGUUCUAUCCAAAUUAAUAAAUAUAACUCUUAAAAGAGCUUUAUUGGAUGUGGAGUCAUCAUUAUUUUUAUCACUUCUAUUUAAGGAAAAAAAUAAAAUUUGUUUUUUAGAACAUAGGUUAAAAAUUUACUGAUUGUACCAAAAAAUAUAAAAUUAUUAUCAUUAUAUCCUGUGUUCCUAGGUAAUUAUAUUUCUUUAUAGUCUACUUAUUUUCUUAAUCGUAUACGCUACAGUUACUUCUACAAUCAUAUUUGCAGAUAACACUACAGAAUCAUUUUUUACAAUCGUAUUUGCACUAGCCAUACUGAAAUGGCUCAGCCUGCAAAGGCACUUGCCACCAAGCCUGACGUCCUGAAUUUGAUCCUUAGGACUCAUAUGGUGGAAGAAGAGAAUUGUUGUAGAUACACACACCCACAAAUAAAUAGAUUUAAAAAAAAAAAAAAAACAGUGGAAUUGGGAAUGGAGAGGUGAUUAACAAUCAGCAUUGUUUCUGCUUGCAGAGGCCCCAGGUUCGAGUCCCAGAACCCACAGGUGACUCGUAGCUACCUGUAACUCCAGUUCCCAGGGAGCUAGACAAGCAGGCAGAUACUUAAAAGUAAAUAAAAAUUAAUAUAUAUAGUGCACUGUUGAAGUCCUCAACCUGUAUAUUAAAACAAAACAAACAAACAAACAAAACAAACAACAACAACAAAACCCAAACAUGUGCCUGGCCCUAGGUUCAAUCCCCAGUCCUGUGUGAAAGAAAAAGCAUAAAAUGUAUAUCUUUCUUAGGUAGAGAUUUUAUUAUCUAUAGCAGAGCACAUACACCACCACCACCACCCCC
rnacentral:lncRNA from 1 species